GGAGGGAUGGCUCAGUGGUUAAGAGCACUGACUGCUCUUCCAGAGGUCCUGAGUUCAAUUCCCAGCAACCACA
rnacentral:tRNA from 1 species